rnacentral:rRNA from 1 species
UGGGGAAUAUUGCACAAUGGGCGAAAGCCUGAUGCAGCAACGCCGCGUGAGUGAUGAAGGCCUUCGGGUUGUAAAGCUCUGUCUUUUGGGACGAUAAUGACGGUACCAAAGGAGGAAGCCACGGCUAACUACGUGCCAGCAGCCGCGGUAAUACGUAGGUGGCAAGCGUUGUCUGGAUUUACUGGGCGUAAAGGAUGCGUAGGCGGAUUUUUAAGUGAGGUGUGAAAACCCUAAGCUUAACUUGGGGACUGCAUUUCAUACUGGAAAUCUAGAGUGCGGGAGAGGAGAAUGGAAUUCCUAGUGUAGCGGUGAAAUGCGUAGAGAUUAGGAAGAACACCAGUGGCGAAGGCGAUUCUCUGGACCGUAACUGACGCUGAGGCAUGAAAGCGUGGGUAGCAAACAGGAUUAGAUACCCUGGUAGUCCACGCCGUAAACGAUGAGUACUAGGUGUAGGAGGUAUCGACCCCUUCUGUGCCGCAGUUAACACAAUAAGUACUCCGCCUGGGAAGUACGAUCGCAAGAUUAAAACUCAAAUGAAUUGACGGGGUCAUAGCUGUUUUCCU